AGUGCUAAGAGAAUGGUUGAACAAUUAAAGACUUUCUUUAAUUAAAAAAUUAAAUUUAAUUUUUUAAAGCGCAAAAGCAAAAAUGAAAAUUUGGGACAAGAAGACCCUAUGAAUUUUUAUUUAUUUUUUAAUUUUUAAAAAUUAAAAAAUAAAUUUGAUUGGGGCGAUGGAUAAAGAGUAGAUAUCUUUAUUUAAAUUUAAAAAAUUAGUUCCGUUUGUAGCGAUUAAAUGAAAAAAAUACUCUAGGGAUAACAGCGU
rnacentral:rRNA from 1 species